rnacentral:rRNA from 1 species
GGGGGGGGGGGGGGGGGGGGGGGGGGGGGGGGAGGCGGGGGGGGAAGAGGAGAGUGGACGCUUCGGCAGAGGGUCAUUUCGGAUUAGUGGCAGACGGGUGAGUAACGCGUGAGCAACCUACCUCUUACAAAGGGAUAGCCUCGGGAAACCGGGGUUAAUACCAUAUAACAUUGCGACGAAGCAUUUCGAUGCAAUCAAAGCUACGGCGGUAAGAGAUGGGCUCGCGUCCCAUUAACCAGAUGGUGAGGUAACGGCUCACCAUAGUAACGAUGGGUAACCGGCCUGAGAGGGUGAACGGUCACACUGGAACUGAGACACGGUCCAGACUCCUACGGGAGGCAGCAGUGGGGAAUAUUGCACAAUGGAGGGAACUCUGAUGCAGCGACGCCGCGUGAGUGAUGAAGGAAUUCGUUUCGUAAAACUCUGUUCUAUGGGAAGAAAAGGACUGUACCAUAGGAGAAAGCUCCGGCUAAAUACGU